rnacentral:pre_miRNA from 1 species
UCGGGCCAACCGGAUUCACCAGCAAGGAGGUCAGGGUCACCAAAUCUAGCGGCCUCGGCCUCCUCGUUGGCUGAUGCAGUAGCGGUAC